rnacentral:lncRNA from 1 species
CCACUUCUAAAAACGGCGGCCUCCGGCUCCGUCCAUGGCUAAAAUCCUCCUUCCUCCUCUUCCCCUCCCCCCGCCGCUUCCCUCCAAACCCGACCAAAUUUCACCCGAAGAUUCCUUCCGGAGAAGCGAACCCGACCAGAAAUUGACCCCCCCUCCCCCCCCCCCCCCUGAGAAAGCUCGAUCCGAGGACGAAUCAGACCCCAAUCUGCUGAAGCCUAGCGAUGGGAAUCCCUGUCCGAUCUCUCCUCGUCGCGUCGAUCGUCCUCAGCUCGAUCGCCCUGCAUGUCGCGGCGGCAAAAAACUUGGAUCCCUACAAGGUGAGAGACGAUAAGCCCCUUCCUCCACUGCCCCCCCGGGGGGGGGGGGGGGGGCGCUCCCCGCCACCGCCGGUGACGGCAAUGUGCAGUUUUCUCUAGCUAAAUGUUGUACGAACUAGGAACCAAUUGUGAGGCAGGACUCAGGAACAGUAGCCACGCAGCCUCGCCAAUGUGCAAUAGAAGUGAUCAUGAAAGCAUAGUCAUUUGAGCCUUCCAAUCAAUUAGAGUUCACAGCAUUAACGCAUUUUCCCUUCGACGAUAGCAUCAUUGUCGGUUGUCAAAUUGUCAGUGAUAUAUUCUGUUCUGUUGUUUUAUUUCAGG